UACAGAGGUGGCGAGCGUUAUUCGGAAUUAUUGGGCGUAAAGGGCGCGUAGGCGGCUUGACAAGUCCCGGGUGAAAUCCCUCGGCUCAACCGAGGAACUGCCUUGGAAACUGUCUGGCUUGAGGCCGGGAGAGGGUAGUGGAAUUCCCAGUGUAGCGGUGAAAUGCGUAUAUACUGGGAGGAACACCGGUGGCGAAGGCGGCUACCUGGACCGGUUCUGACGCUGAGGCGCGAAAGCGUGGGUAGCAAACAGG
rnacentral:rRNA from 1 species